AUUGAACGCUGGCGGCAUGCCUUACACAUGCAAGCCGAACGGUAACAGGUUAAGCUGACGAGUGGCGAACGGGUGAGUAAUAUAUCGGAACGUGCCCAGUCGUGGGGGAUAACUGCUCGAAAGAGCAGCUAAUACCGCAUACGACCUGAGGGUGAAAGCGGGGGAUCGCAAGACCUCGCGCGAUUGGAGCGGCCGAUAUCAGAUUAGGUAGUUGGUGGGGUAAAGGCCUACCAAGCCUACGAUCUGUAGCUGGUCUGAGAGGACGACCAGCCACACUGAGCCUGAGACACGGCCCAGACUCCUACGGGAGGCAGCAGUGGGGAAUUUUGGAAAAUGGACGCAAGUCUGAUCCAGCCAUGCAGCGUGCGGGAAGAAGGCCUUCGGGUUGUAAACCGCUUUUGUCAGGGAAGAAAAGGUUCUGGUUAAUACCUGGGACUCAUGACGGUACCUGAAGAAUAAGCACCGGCUAACUACGUGCCAGCCGCCGCAGUAAAAC
rnacentral:rRNA from 1 species